GCGAGAGCUAGGUUCCUGCUCUCCUGAAAGCCUCGGAGGCCCAGAGCGGGGAGCAGCGGGCCUGCAACCAGGGAACCCUGAAAGGAAGCGGGUCCUCUGUAAGAUGGGGCUGCAUCCCUGCCCCGCUCCCAGCAGCAUGGGGUCAGAUGCAAAAACUGAGGCUCAGGGGAGUGAAGUGACCCAUCCAAGGUCCCACAGCUUGUCCGUGGCAGAGCUGGGUUUCAACCCCAGGGAGAAACCAAUGCAGUGCUGCACAUCCAAUCACUAUUGAGUGCUUCUCCUUCGUCCGUAACGUUCAGCACGGAGAACAGUGCCUGGCACAUAGUAGGUGCUUAAUAAAACGUGCUGAAUGAAUCGUC